rnacentral:rRNA from 1 species
UACGUAGGGUGCAAGCGUUACUCGGAAUUACUGGGCGUAAAGCGUGCGCAGGCGGUUUCGUAAGCUUGAUGUGAAAUCCCCGGGCUUAACCUGGGAACUGCAUUGAGGACUGCGAGGCUAGAGUACGGCAGAGGGGGGUGGAAUUCCACGUGUAGCAGUGAAAUGCGUAGAGAUGUGGAGGAACACCGAUGGCGAAGGCAGCCCCCUGGGCCUGUACUGACGCUCAUGCACGAAAGCGUGGGGAGCAAACAGG